UACGAAGGGGGCUAGCGUUGUUCGGAAUUACUGGGCGUAAAGCGUGCGCAGGCGGCUUCUCAAGUCAGGGGUGAAAGCCCAGAGCUCAACUCUGGAAUUGCCUUUGAGACUGAGUGGCUUGAGUACGGGAGAGGUGAGUGGAAUUCCCAGUGUAGAGGUGAAAUUCGUAGAUAUUGGGAAGAACACCGGUGGCGAAGGCGGCUCACUGGCCCGUAACUGACGCUGAGGCACGAAAGCGUGGGGAGCAAACAGG
rnacentral:rRNA from 1 species